GCUUGUCUCAAAGAUUAAGCCAUGCAUGUCUAAGUAUAAAUAUCUAUACUGUGAAACUGCGUAUGGCUCAUUAAAUCAGUUAUAGUUUAUUUGAUGAUACCCCACUACAUGGAUAACCGUAGUAAUUCUAGAGCUAAUACAUGCGUCAAAUCCCGACUUUUUGGAAGGGAUGUAUUUAUUAGAUAAAAAACCAACCCUUCGGGUUUCUUGGUGAUUCAUAAUAACUUAUCGGAGCUCAUGGCCUUGUGCCGACGACGUUUCCUUCGAAGGUGUGCCCUAUCAACUGUCGACUGUGAUAUAGACGCUCACAGUGGUUUUGACGGGUAACGGGGAAUCAGGGUUCGAUUCCGGAGAGGGAGCCUUAAAAACGGCUACCACAUCCAAGGAAGGCAGCAGG
rnacentral:rRNA from 1 species